rfam:Ixodes scapularis strain Wikel colony gcontig_1108378508188, whole genome shotgun sequence.
GCUGGGAUGGUCUAAUCGGUUUAGGCGUCGCCCCGGACAGGCGAAGGUUGCGGGUUCAAUCCCUGCUCCUGGCC